GCCUACGUAGCUUAAAUAAAGCAUAACACUGAAGAUGUUAAGAUAGGCCGUAAAAAGCUUCGUUGGCA
rnacentral:tRNA from 1 species